CCCUUAGAUGUUCUGGGCUGCACGCGUGCUACACUGAUAUUGCCAAUAUGUCAUUCUUAUCCGAAAUGGAUUGGGUAAUCAAGUAAUGAAAUUUCAUGCUUGGAAUCGGUAAUUGCAAUUUUAUCGUGAACGAGGAAUUCCUAGUAAGCACUAGUCAUCAGCUAAUGUUGAUUAUGUCCCUGCCCUUUGUACACACCGCCCGUCGCUACUACUGAUUGGGUGUUCAAGUGAGAUGCUUAGACCCUUGUUGCAUGGUUCAUUAUUGUGCUCCGAAAUGAAAAAGUUUCAAGCUUGAGUGUCUAGAGGAAGUAAAAGUCGUAACA
rnacentral:rRNA from 1 species